CCUACGGGAGACAGCAGUGAGGCAUAUUGGUCAAUGGGCUUACGCCUGAACCAGCCAAGUCGCGUGAGGGAAGACUGCCCUAUGGGUUGUAAACCUCUUUUGUCAGGGAGCAACGCCGGCUACGUUUAGCCGGACUGAGAGUACCUGAAGAAAAAGCAUCGGCUAACUCCGUGCCAGCAGCCGCUGUAAUACGGAGGAUGCGAGCGUAAUCCGGAUUUAUUGGGUUUAAAGGGUGCGUAGGCGGAAUGCCAAGUCAGCGGGAAAAUCGCGGGGCUCAACCUCGCUCCGACGUUGAAACUGGCGUUCUUGAGUGGGCGAGAAGUAUGCGGAAUGCGUGGUGUAGCGGUGAAAUGCAUAGAUAGCACGCAGAACUCCGAUUGCGAAGGCAGCAUACCGGCGCCCAACUGACGCUGAAGCACGAAAGCGUGGGUAUCGAACAGGAUUAGAUACCCGAGUAGUC
rnacentral:rRNA from 1 species